GCGCCCAGCCGCCGCAGCAACCGGGCCUCGCCGCUCCUCGCGGGGCGCCGCUGUCCCAGCUCUAACUGAAGGGGGCUGCCUGUGCCCAGGUUUCAGUCACCCUGCUUUAAGGACAGAAGCCUGUGGAUUCUAGGGGAUUCUCCCAUCAGAAAUGACACAGAGGAGGCAUUCCAUCAUGAAUGACACCUGACAAUCCUCUGGACUGAGCUGGUGCUGCAGCAAGUGUGGGUGCUGGUCACUGAGGCCCUAACGUGGCCACCUGGAAUGUUCCUCCAUGUCUGGAGCAGUCAGUAGCUGAGGGGAAGACAUUUGUAGGCCUUCCCACCAUCCGAGGCCCAGCCGUAGCAGCCCAGGUUCCCAGCAGCUGCCCUCGAUCGCCCGGCCUGCGCCGGCUCUGCCGCCAUGGGGACCGCUCAGGUUUUGCCUGGCAUCCUGCAGAAGCAUUGCUGUAUCUUACCAGACAGGAACACAGGUUGCUGUGUGCUGGAAGGUUUUACUGAAGCCUAGAAGCCAGAUGCUGGACAUGGACAAGAAGAGACUGUUUCUGAUGCUGGCAUCAGCUCCUCCCCCUUUAAACUGCGAGUCCCUCCUGAGGGUGGGAAAGGCCUCUGGAGAAGCAGGCGUGUCCUGUUCUUCCUGGAAGUGGCCCUUUGUCGCCAGAAUGUCAUGGCUCUGAGGAGUGAUGCACUUGCGCCCAGGCCUCAGAAAUGAACCAGGUGUUGUUGACGAUUGUGUACUUGGGGAUGGCGACUUUUCAAGACAAAUAAAGUGUCACGACGUC
rnacentral:lncRNA from 1 species